AGCUGGCUGAAGGUUAGACCUAAGUGUUUAUUUAUUGCUCAAAGGAGUUUUUAACUUUAUCCAGAGUUGAUUGUUGCUUGGCCUAGUUAAAUCACUCAUAUUGAGUAACAACUCUUAGAUUUAGAGUUGACUUGAAAUGAAAUAGAAAGGAAAAACUGUAUUUUUGUGUAUUUGGAUUGAUUUUG
rnacentral:lncRNA from 1 species